rnacentral:rRNA from 1 species
GACGAACGCUGGCGGCGUGCCUAACACAUGCAAGUCGAGCGGGAACCUCGGGAGGGGUAACCCUUCCGUGGGGAGAGCGGCGAACGGGUGAGAAACACGUGGGCAACCUGCCCCGGACACCGGGAUAACCCAGGGAAACCUGAGCUAAUACCGGAUACUCCGGCGUGAUCGCAUGGUCGCGCCGGGAAAGCCCCGACGGUCCGGGAUGGGCCCGCGGCCUAUCAGCUUGUUGGUGGGGUAACGGCCCACCAAGGCGACGACGGGUAGCUGGUCUGAGAGGACGGCCAGCCACACUGGGACUGAGACACGGCCCAGACUCCUACGGGAGGCAGCAGUGGGGGAUCUUGCGCUAAUGCGCGAAAGCGUGACGCAGCGACGCCGCGUGGGGGAUGAAGGCCCUCGGGUUGUAAACCCCUUUCGGCAGGGACGAAGCGAAAGUGACGGUACCUGCAGAAGAAGUCCCGGCUAACUACGUGCCAGCAGCCGCCGUAACAC